GGGGGGUACCUCAGGAUCCUGGGCUGUGUCCCGGCGCCCUGUGCUCCGGGGCCUGCGCUGUUGGAUUUGCGCUCCCCCCCCCGCAGCCCCCU
rfam:Canis lupus familiaris chromosome 12, whole genome shotgun sequence.